rnacentral:rRNA from 2 species
AUUGAUUGAUGGUGCUUGCACCUGAUUGAUUUUGGUCGCCAACGAGUGGCGGACGGGUGAGUAACACGUAGGUAACCUGCCCAGAAGCGGGGGACAACAUUUGGAAACAGAUGCUAAUACCGCAUAACAACGUUGUUCGCAUGAACAACGCUUAAAAGAUGGCUUCUCGCUAUCACUUCUGGAUGGACCUGCGGUGCAUUAGCUUGUUGGUGGGGUAACGGCCUACCAAGGCGAUGAUGCAUAGCCGAGUUGAGAGACUGAUCGGCCACAAUGGGACUGAGACACGGCCCAUACUCCUACGGGAGGCAGCAGUAGGGAAUCUUCCACAAUGGGCGCAAGCCUGAUGGAGCAACACCGCGUGAGUGAAGAAGGGUUUCGGCUCGUAAAGCUCUGUUGUUAAAGAAGAACACGUAUGAGAGUAACUGUUCAUACGUUGACGGUAUUUAACCAGAAAGUCACGGCUAACUACGUGCCAGCAGCCGCGGUAAUACGUAGGUGGCAAGCGUUAUCCGGAUUUAUUGGGCGUAAAGAGAGUGCAGGCGGUUUUCUAAGUCUGAUGUGAAAGCCUUCGGCUUAACCGGAGAAGUGCAUCGGAAACUGGAUAACUUGAGUGCAGAAGAGGGUAGUGGAACUCCAUGUGUAGCGGUGGAAUGCGUAGAUAUAUGGAAGAACACCAGUGGCGAAGGCGGCUACCUGGUCUGCAACUGACGCUGAGACUCGAAAGCAUGGGUAGCGAACAGGAUUAGAUACCCUGGUAGUCCAUGCCG